ACAUUGGCUACAUUUGGGUAUAUUGCUCCAGAAUACGGAUCUCAAGGACUGGUAUCAAUUCGGAGUGACGUUUACAGCUAUGGUGUUGUGUUAAUGGAGACAUUCACGCGGAUGAAACCAAGUGAUAACAUUUUCUCUGGAGAUUCAACCUUAAAGCGCUUGGUAGAGUCUUCGCUACCAAAUGCAAUAACUCAAGUCAUAGACUUGAAUUUAUUGCCUCAAGAUCAAAUUGAGAUAUUCACCAAGCAUGUAGAAUGUGUUACUUCUAUUAUGAAAGUAGCCUUGAGAUGCUGUGAAGAUGCACCUGAGGAAAGGAUUAGCAUGAAAGAUGUUUUGGUUGCACUCAAGAAGAUCAAACUUCAAUUUCUUGGUAGGAAUGCAUUAGCUUAAACAUUGAAAAUUAAUUACCAUAUUUCACACAAGACUUGUUAUUGUUAUUGUUGUUA